GCACAGCUCAGUCUGUAGAGCGUGAGACUCUUUUAGUCUCAGGGACGUGGGUUUGAGCCCUGCGUUGGGCA